ACGGCCACUGAAGCGGCAACCCCUCAAAUUUGAAAUCUGGCCCUUUUACGGUCCGCAUUGUAAUUUGUAUAGGAUGAUUCCGCGAGGGUUCCUGCUUAAUUCCCCUGGAACGGGGCGUCGUAGAGGGUGAGAAUCCCGUAUGCGGUAGGUUGCCUUAACCAUGUGAAUCUCCUUCGACGAGUCGAGUUGUUUGGGAAUGCAGCUCUAGAUGGGAGGUAAAUUUCUUCUAAAGCUAAAUACCGGCCAGAGACCGAUAGCGCACAAGUAGAGUGAUCGAAAGAUGAAAAGCACUUUGGAAAGAGAGUUAAAAAGUACGUGAAAUUGUUGAAAGGGAAGCGCUUGCAACCGGACUUGUCCUCAUUUGCUCAUCCGGUCUCCUGACCGGCGUACUCUUCUGCGGCCAGGCCAUCUUCAGUUCGGGCGGUCGGAUAAAGGCCUCGGGAAUGUACCUCCUCUCGGGGAGUGUUAUAGCCCGGGGUGGAAUGCGGCCAGCCUGGACUGAGGAACUCGCUUCGGCAAGGAUGCUGGCGUAAUGGUUGUAAGCGGCCCGUCUUGAAACACGGACCAAGGAGUCUAACAUCUAUGCGAGUGUUCGGGUGUCACACCCGUACGCGUAAUGAAAGUGAACGGAGGUGGGCAUCCGCAAGGGUGCACCAUCGGCCGAUCCUGAUGUUUUCGGAUGGAUUUGAGCAAGAGCAUAGCUGUUGGGACCCGAAAGACGGUGAACUAUGCCUGAAUAGGGUGAAGCCAGAGGAAACUCUGGUGGAGGCUCGCAGCGGUUCUGACGUGCAAAUUGAUCGUC
rnacentral:rRNA from 1 species